GUCACGCUGUUCAGUUUACUGUAAUAGCAUUGAAAUGAGGAUGUAAUGUGCAAGAUAUUGAAAGAUGGUUCAACUGAUGGAACAUAAUCCAACCACAAUAAAAAGAUUUGGAUUGCGCAAGUUUUGCAGUGCUGCCUUUUACCUGAUGGUGAAACUAGUUCCGGCAAUAAAUCCGAGUCAGGUUCUGGCGGGGAACAAGCAUGACAUAAAGCCUGUGCUUGAUGCCGUCAUCAUUUCUGCCUGCAAAGGU